GGGCUGUAGCUCAGUUGGUAGAGCACCUCGUUUACACCGAGAAGGUCUA
rnacentral:tRNA from 1 species